UUCCGGUUGAUCCUGCCGGAGGUCACUGCUAUCGGGGUUCGAUUAAGCCAUGCGAGUCGAGAGGGUUCAGACCCUCGGCGGACUGCUCAGUAACACGUGGAUAAUCUGCCCUAUGGUGGAGGAUAACCCCGGGAAACUGGGGAUAAUACUCCAUAAGUCAGGAGUACUGGAAUGUCUCCUAACUGAAAGUUGCGGCGCCAUAGGAUGAAUCUGCGGCCGAUUAGGUAGUUGUUGGGGUAACGGCCCAACAAGCCCGUAAUCGGUACGGGUUGUGGGAGCAAGAGCCCGGAGAUGGAAUCUGAGACACGAUUCCAGGCCCUACGGGGCGCAGCAGGCGCGAAAACUUUACAAUGCAGGAAACUGUGAUAAGGGAACCCCGAGUGCCCGUACACGCGGGCUGUCCCGGUGUUUAAAACACAUCGGAAGAAAGGGCCGGGCAAGACCGGUGCCAGCCGCCGCGGUAAUACCGGCGGCUCGAGUGGUGACCACUUUUAUUGGGCUUAAAGCGUUCGUAGCUUGAUUUUUAAGUCUCUUGGGAAAUCUCACGGCUUAACUGUGAGGCGUCUAAGAGAUACUGGGAAUCUAGGGACCGGGAGAGGUAUGAGGUACUUCAGGGGUAGAAGUGAAAUUCUGUAAUCCUUGAGGGACCACCGAUGGCGAAGGCAUCUUACCAGAACGGCUUCGACAGUGAGGAACGAAAGCUGGGGGAGCGAACGGGAUUAGAUACCCCGGUAGUCCCAGCCGUAAACUAUGCGCGUUAGGUGUGCCUGUAACUACGAGUUACCGGGGUGCCGAAGUGAAAACGUGAAACGUGCCGCCUGGGAAGUACGGUCGCAAGGCUGAAACUUAAAGGAGUUGGCGGGGGAGCACCACAACGGGUGGAGCCUGCGGUUUAAUUGGAGUCAACGCCGGA
rnacentral:rRNA from 1 species